AGACACUCUUAGAUUUUGAGGAAAGCUGAAAUGUUUUAAGCUGUACCUGUUAAAUUUCUUUAAAACAAGGCUUGAUUCUGUGAAAUUCUUCAGAUUUCUAUAUAACUUAUUUGAUUUUAUUUUGUGUGCGUCUGAAAUACUAGAAAUUUUGGUAACCUUCAUAUCUAGGACUAAUUUAAUAGCAUCUGUGUAAAUGCUGCUGCAUAAAUCAGUAUUUGCCUCUAAUUCUGAAAGGUGAUGAAGGGUCCAAGUCUUAACAUAUUGCUGAAAGGACCCAUCUCUUCUGUCCUCCCAUCGCUAACAUUCUGCUGCCUCCCUUAUGUUAGCACAAGCACUUUAUGGUUAGCUUACCAUGUUCUACCUUACUAAGUUAUUUGUGCUGAUGGAUAUAACUAGCAGGAGUGGUGUGUAUUUAAACAGGCAUAGAAAUUAUUUUAAAUAAGUCUGCUAAGUCAGUUUGGGAGUUAGAAUGUUACAACUGUGGCUAUUUACAGCUAAAAGUGGUUGUUCAUGAUCAUGCACUCAGAUUUUCCCAAUAGGUUCUCUUUGAGCUAUUUGCAGAAAGAAAAUGCUUGGUUUUUCUUCCCUCUUAGGGUGCUUCAUACGAUGGUGUCUUUCCUAAGCUAACAGUUCUUUCAUCUCUGCAGAUAAGUAAUAUUUGUUGUCUCGUAUAGACUGAAAGUUGAAGCACCGAGGUUAAAGUAUACCCAUCCACUUACCUUGAAUGCACAUUUAAAUUACAUGGGGUCUUACCAGUUAAUACAAGAAAGUAGUUAAAGAACAGUAAAAAUUCUGAGGUGUGUGCUGUGUUGUGAGCCACAUUUUUAGGUCAGCAGAGUUCACAAACACGAACUCUGCCUGGCGUCCCUGUGCAAUAUAAGAGCCCAUGUCUCAGACUUGCAAUCCAGACAAGAGAGUGCUUCAAAUCACCUUUGCAGUUACUUCUUCACACUGUUUUUAAUCUUACAUUGAAAUACAAUUCACUUUUGUGUGGAUGGUAGAUUAAAAAGAAAAGUUUGCUUCUGGUGCUCACAACCUGAUGAAAAUUUAGACACGUUUAAAUACUGCUGAUAGAGACCCUAAGACCAAAGUUGGCUUUCUGUUGGUCUUCUUGAUCUCUUAAUUCUGUUCAGAUGAAAGGUGACUGUUUUUAACUCAAAUAAAACAACAUGAAGUCAUUAAGCCAGUAAUGCAAAAUCAUGUAACACCUAUGUGGCAGACAGACACUGCUUCUCCCAGUGCCAGGCAUACAGUUCCUAACUAAAUUAAUUCUAUCAGUAUUAGCAGCAUAAUUCACUCCUCCCUCUGACAAAAAAAAACACUUGCACAGGAUUAGCUGUUCCACAUCACUUCAGAAACCGUGGAAAACUGAUUCAGGCAGUCAUUUUGCAUGUAAUGUACUGUGGGUUAUAAAGUAGUGAUGGCUUUGUUGUUGUUUCCUGCCAUUAGGGCUUCAUUAUAUGUUUCUAACUGACUCAAGGAAUGCCAAAUUCUACUUAACCGAAUUACCAGAAAAGCAUCUGGCAAAACAAAAGGGAAAAAUAAAUCAUCUGUUUUUUA